ACGAACGCUGGCGGCGUGCUUCACACAUGCACGUCGAACGGAAAGGCCCUGCUUUUGUGGGGUGCUCGAGUGGCGAACGGGUGAGUAACACGUGAGUAACCUGCCCUUGACUUUGGGAUAACUUCAGGAAACUGGGGCUAAUACCGGAUAGGAGCUCCUGCUGCAUGGUGGGGGUUGGAAAGUUUCGGCGGUUGGGGAUGGACUCGCGGCUUAUCAGCUUGUUGGUGGGGUAGUGGCUUACCAAGGCUUUGACGGGUAGCCGGCCUGAGAGGGUGACCGGCCACAUUGGGACUGAGAUACGGCCCAGACGCCUACGGGAGGCAGCAGUGGGGAAUAUUGCACAAUGGGCGGAAGCCUGAUGCAGCAACGCCGCGUGCGGGAUGACGGCCUUCGGGUUGUAAACCGCUUUCGCCUGUGACGAAGCGUGAGUGACGGUAAUGGGUAAAGAAGCACCGGCUAACUACGUG
rnacentral:rRNA from 1 species